rfam:Shewanella sp. YQH10 contig12, whole genome shotgun sequence.
AGGCAUUUUGGGAGCCUAAAUCCAAGGGCGGUAGCGUG